rnacentral:rRNA from 1 species
GAUGAACGCUGGCGGCGUGUCUAAUACAUGCAAGUCGAGCGAACAGACGAGGAGCUUGCUCCUCUGACGUUAGCGGCGGACGGGUGAGUAACACGUGGAUAACCUACCUAUAAGACUGGGAUAACUUCGGGAAACCGGAGCUAAUACCGGAUAAUAUAUUGAACCGCAUGGUUCAAUAGUGAAAGACGGUUUUGCUGUCACUUAUAGAUGGAUCCGCGCCGCAUUAGCUAGUUGGUAAGGUAACGGCUUACCAAGGCAACGAUGCGCAGCCGACCUGAGAGGGUGAUCGGCCACACUGGAACUGAGACACGGUCCAGACUCCUACGGGAGGCAGCAGUAGGGAAUCUUCCGCAAUGGGCGAAAGCCUGACGGAGCAACGCCGUGUGAGUGAUGAAGGUCUUCGGAUCGUAAAACUCUGUUAUUAGGGAAGAACAAAUGUGUAAGUAACUAUGCACGUCUUGACGGUACCUAAUCAGAAAGCCACGGCUAACUACGUG